CAGGAACCGUUCGACUCAUUAUCACCUAAUAAUCGCCCAGACAGAGGCAGUUUUUUUUUAAUUUAUCAAGAGUUCAUCAAGGUGGAGGGAAUACUCUGCGGCAAGCAGAGUCUUCCAACAUAAAACAGAUGGCACCUAACGACACUAGAUCCAAGAGGAUCAAAAAAAUUUUUGGAGAGAGGAAGACUUUAUGGGCUUGUUUGCUGAAUUGAUAAUGGGCUGAGUACUGCAGGAGCCCAUCUGUUUUAUGUUUCAAGACCCGACUCGGUUUGCUGGAGUAUUCCCUGAUUGUUUUAACAUUCUCAAUUGUUGGUGUUAAUAAUGACAAGCAAGAACUUUCAGGCCCUUUAUAUUAAAUCUUUGGCUAUAUUUAAGUACUUGGGCAUUGCACCGAGAGGGUAUCUGGAUUUGGAUAACUUUCUGAUUAGUUUGUUAAGUGCUCAUAAAGCUAAAUAAUCUCCAUCUUUAGCCGACAACUAGUUUCUGUUGUAUA